GCAGGAGUGAGAGAGCACAAGCAGAGGGAGAGGGAGAAGAAGCAGGAAGCCUGAUGCUCCAUCCCAGGGUCCUGGGAUCAUGACUGGAGCAGAAGGCAGGUGCUUAACCAACUGAACCAUGCAGGUGUCCUUGCCUCAAGCUUCUUAAGAAAUCUUAACUAUAGGAAACCAAGAGUAUUGUCCCAUGGCAAUGAUUUUGGAAGAUGGCUGUUCAGCAUGUAGGAGAAGAAGAAGGUCCCUCUCUGGCUCAGAAAAAUGGCACUGGCCAAGAGAACCAACCAAGGCAAUCUGGAUCCAAUGCCUGCUAUUGCUGACGAUUGUUCCACAGGACCUCUGUUGUUGGAGAUUGUUCUGACAUGUGGAUUCAUCCUGAACAAUGGCCUGGUGUUCUCAUUGUGUCUCUCUGGAAAGCCUCAGGCUCAGGAUGCUCUGAAGACUGAACACACCUAGCAGGGAGCUAGGUUAUAACCAACUGGAAAAAACAGCCAUGUGAGAGUUCAAUGCACACUGGGCUACCUACAUUGGUUUUGGGAGGCCAAUUUCAUUCUCUGUUCUGGUUUCCUGGAAAUCACAUGAAAUGCAAGAACAUCAAAGACAAAGAGUAUAUUUAAAGGCUUUCAUAUCACCUACAGAAGAACAAGAAUUAGAUCUAUGUUAGACUUCUUAAAAGGAGCACUGGAUGCCAGAAGACAGUUGAAUAAUGUUAUUAAAGGAUUGAAGAAAGGAACUCUCUAGAACCAAAAUGAAGAGAAAGAGAAAAUACUCCCAUGGCAACUGAAAAAUAACAUUCCAGACAACAUCAGCAUGGGGUGAGGAGGAGAGACCAGAAGAUCAUGAAAGGAUGAAAGGCAGACUGCCACAUGCAGUGCCUCAUUUGGAUGUGUCUAGUCUUGGAAGCCUGACUACACUACAUUUUCCUUCAAAUGGACUUUGAUGGUUCUAGCAGAGGAGCACAGCUACUUGUAUGCCCUUCAGCCAAGAAGGAUCCUCUUCCUCUGAUGGAGAAGGUCAGCCUCUUUGAGCGUGCAGCUUCAGGACAGAUGCACAUGGAGUGGUGAGAGAAGAAGGGGACACCUGUAGCCAGUCAGAUCAGCUGGAUCAACACUGACAAUCAAUGGAGGGACAGAUAUUGCAGCCAGAUCACCCUCACAUCCUGGUUAGAACUAGAUAAACUUACUGUAAAAUUAUAUGGAAAAAUAAAGAUGCAUGAAUAGCUAUGUCAAUCAUGAAAAAAUAAAAAUUAAAAGAUAA